rnacentral:rRNA from 1 species
UACGUAGGGUGCGAGCGUUAAUCGGAAUUACUGGGCGUAAAGCGUGCGCAGGCGGUUCGCCAAGUCAGGUGUGAAUUCCCCGGGCUUAACCUGGGAAUGGCGUUUGAAACUACGGAGCUGGAGUGUGGCAGAGGGAGGUAGAAUUCCACGUGUAGCGGUGAAAUGCGUAGAUAUGUGGAGGAAUACCGAUGGCGAAGGCAGCCUCCUGGGCCAACACUGACGCUCAUGCACGAAAGCGUGGGGAGCAAACAGG